rnacentral:rRNA from 1 species
UACGUAGGGUGCAAGCGUUGUCCGGAAUUAUUGGGCGUAAAGAGCUCGUAGGCGGUUUGUCGCGUCUGCUGUGAAAACCCGAGGCUCAACCUCGGGCCUGCAGUGGGUACGGGCAGACUAGAGUGCGGUAGGGGAGAUUGGAAUUCCUGGUGUAGCAGUGAAAUGCGUAGAUAUCAGGAGGAAUACCGAUGGCGAAGGCAGGUCUCUGGGCUGACACUGACGCUCAUGCACGAAAGCGUGGGGAGCAAACAGG